AUUAGGAUCUGCUACGCAAGCAGCUGGGCCCAUACCCCAAAAACGGAGUCAGUUCUCCUCCUAACA
rnacentral:tRNA from 1 species